CAAAAACAUGUCUUUUUGAUUAUAAUUUAAAGUCUAACCUGCCCAAUGAGGAGUUAAAUGGCCGCGGUAUUUUGACCGUGCAAAGGUAGCAUAAUCAUUAGUUUUUUAAUUGAAAGCUGGUAUGAAUGGUUGGACGAGAAAAUAACUGUCUCGGUUUAAAUUAAAUUAGAAUUUUAUUUAUGAGUAAAAAAGCUCAUAUGAGUUUAAAAGACGAGAAGACCCUAUAGAAUUUAAUAUAUGUAUAUAUAUAUUAUUUUUAGUAUUAAUAAUAAGUUAUAUAUAAUUAUAUUUUGUUGGGGUGAUGGAAAAAUUAAAUUAACUUUUUUUAUAUAAAAACAUUAAUGUACGAAAAAAUGAUCCGUUAAUUACGAUUAUAAGAUUAAAUUACCUUAGGGAUAACAGCGUAAUUUUUUUUCAGAGUUCUUAUCGAAAAAAGAGUUUGCGACCUCGAUGUUGGAUUAAAAUUAACUUUUGGUGUAGGGGCU
rnacentral:rRNA from 1 species